GCCCCCGCGCGCCGCCCCCGCGCGACCGCCCAGCGCCGACCUCCGUUGCCCCCCGCCGCGGAUUUCAGCCCAUUCAAUAAGCAGUCUGCCAAACAGUUAACUUCUGUGACCAGCUGCUUCUUUAACCAGCUGCUUCUCAGGCCAGCUAACCACCAGCUGGCUUCAGAAUAAGUUUCAGCUGUGCCAAACAGGCCCAAUGUCUAAUG